rnacentral:tRNA from 1 species
GCCCCCAUCGUCUAGAGGCCCAGGAUACCGGAUUCUCAGUCCGAGGACCGGGGUUCGAAUCCCCGUGGGGGUA